GAUGAACGCUGGCGGCGUGCCUAAUACAUGCAAGUCGAACGCUGGAGAUCUAGCUUGCUAGAUCGAAGGAGUGGCGAACGGGUGAGUAAUACAUAAGCAACCUACCCACGAAGACUGGGAUAAUCUCUGGAAACGGGGACUAAUACCGGAUAGGUGAUCGGAAGGCAUCUUCUGGUUAUUAAAGGUUAAAAACACUGGUGGAUGGGCUUAUGGCGCAUUAGUUAGUUGGUGAGGUAACGGCCCACCAAGACGAUGAUGCGUAGCCGGCCUGAGAGGGUGAACGGCCACAUUGGGACUGAGACACGGCCCAGACUCCUACGGGAGGCAGCAGUAGGGAAGUUUCGGCAAUGGGGGCAACCCUGACCGAGCAACGCCGCGUGAGUGAAGACGGCCUUCGGGUUGUAAAGCUCUGUUGUAAGGGAAGAACGGUAGAUAGAGAAUAUCUAAGUGACGGUACCUUACCAGAAAGCCACGGCUAACUACGUG
rnacentral:rRNA from 1 species